GAUGAAGAACGUAGCGAAAUGCGAUAAGUAGUGUGAAUUGCAGAAUUCAGUGAAUCAUCGAAUCUUUGAACGCACAUCGCGCCCCUUGGUAUCCCGAGGGGCAUGCCUGUUCGAGCGUCAUUUCACCACUCAAGCCUGGCUUGGUGUUGGGCGACGUCCUCUUUGGGGACGCGCCUCGAAACGCUCGGCGGCGUGGCACCGGCUUUAAGCGUAGCAGAAUCUUUCGCUUUGGAAGUCGGGGCCCCGUCUGCCGGAAGACCUGCUCGCAAGGUUGACCUCGGAUCAGGCAGGGAUACCCGCUGAACUUAAGCAUAUCAAUAAGCGGAGGA
rnacentral:misc_RNA from 1 species